ACCACACAGACGGAGUCACCACAGGAAGGAACAAGGCAGUGAGCCUUAGCGGACAUCAUCACGGUCAGAGGGGCUCGUAAGCUACCACCAAGAGAACCGCAAUCCACCAGCCAAAACGGGGGGGGGGGGGUGUAAACGAGAGGAUGACAGUGCAACAAAAAACUGAUUAUUGCGGUCAGCAGCGACGGACAGGAAUGGGGACAUCGCUGCAGCAACGACCGUCGUUAGAAGGACAGCAGGUCAGAUGAAAGUGGAGCUUUCAGUACCUGUGCUCUGGAGAUGCUGACCACUCACAGGUCUCUACCAGUGAUGUUUCAGACAUGGAGAUGUCUUUGCUUAUUGCAAAGGACUGUAUUAUCAGGUAUUUAUGGAAGAAACAUUUUGCAGAAGUUACUUUGACUACUGUGAGGAACUGAGAUGGAAGGCACGAGGAACACAGGUUGGCCACCUCUUUUGACUGGAGCAGUGAGGAAAAUUCCCCAGCACUCACCACACGGAAACUCGAAAAGAAACGAAACCAUUAAUAACUUAAAAAGGUGCGCAACAUAAUGUUCCACAGUUAACUAAAUGUGCAUGCUUCAUCUAGUAAACAGUGGUUAAAAUGUAUCGAAUAAAGAAAUACUAAUAGACAAAUAUUGUUGCGUUUUGAUUAGCAUUAUGCAAACUAAACAAACUCAAAUGUAAAAUGGCAAAUGACUAUGGGUAAGAUACUUCCCUUCAGUGUGGCUGUCAGACCAGC